rnacentral:rRNA from 1 species
AUUGAACGCUGGCGGCAGGCUUAACACAUGCAAGUCGAGCGGGGGAAGGUAGCUUGCUACCGGACCUAGCGGCGGACGGGUGAGUAAUGCUUAGGAAUCUGCCUAUUAGUGGGGGACAACAUCUCGAAAGGGAUGCUAAUACCGCAUACGUCCUACGGGAGAAAGCAGGGGAUCGUCGGACCUUGCGCUAAUAGAUGAGCCUAAGUCGGAUUAGCUAGUUGGUGGGGUAAAGGCCUACCAAGGCGACGAUCUGUAGCGGGUCUGAGAGGAUGAUCCGCCACACUGGGACUGAGACACGGCCCAGACUCCUACGGGAGGCAGCAGUGGGGAAUAUUGGACAAUGGGGGGAACCCUGAUCCAACCAUGCCGCGUGUGUGAAGAAGGCCUUAUGGUUGUAAAGCACUUUAAGCGAGGAGGAGGCUACUCUAGUUAAUACCUAGGGAUAGUGGACGUUACUCGCAGAAUAAGCACCGGCUAACUCUGUGCCAGCAGCCGCAGUAA